UCUUUUUCUUCUACUGCGGUUCUUCUCAUCUCUCUCGCAGGAGCUAUGGAUUCUUGAGUAUCCGUUUUUAUUUCUGAGGUUUAUGUGCUACUUCUAUAUGUUUGCCGGAAAUUUUUUUCUCCAUUUGAUCGACGUAGGAUGAUUGAUUAAUUAAGUUGUUUCUGCGAUUUAAGUUUAGUUGAUGUCGAGGAGAGGAAGGAGGUAACCCUAGAAAUUUUAAAUCUGUAUUUGUAUUGGUUGAUGUUUCCUGAUUUGUGUCUGCUUUAUGUGCUUGAUGUAGGAAAUUUAGGGGCAAAGUUUAUAACAUUGAUUUAGGAGGCAAAUUUAGUUUCCAAGACGAUGCAGAGGAAUGGAAAAACAAGAUUGGUUAACAACCUGGGGACAAUCGCCUACACCAAAACAACACCGACUCUGAAGCUGAUUCGAGGUUGGAGCACAAUUAUGCAAUUUAAUUGAGCCUAGUGUACUUAUGUACUUAGGAAGCGAAACAGAACCUGGAACUUGGAACUGCCAGGUUUGAGGUAAGGAUUGUGUUGGUCAUUUUUGAUAUGCUAUCUUAAUUCCCCAAUCCACUAGAUAGAUGGAGGUAUACUGUAUGUAGGGUUGAAGUCAAUUUUGUGCUAUAAGUAGAAAUAUGUUAAACUUUUGAGGGUUGAGGUAUCAUUUAGUUUGAAACGACUUUAGAGUGUCCAACUCUUCUAAGUUGCCUGAGACCUUUCGACAUCAAACGGUGCUCAUGGGUUUAACUUACUUCAUAAAACAGUUUAAUGGGUUUAAUUCACUUUAUACAACAACAUAGCACUGUAUCACUGUUUUCCGGUAACAUGUUCUACCUAUACAAUGAGAUUUUGACUGUAUGUUUGUAGCUGAAAUUUAAACUUAUAACCUAUUCAUUGGAUCUCGAGGAGGGAUAGGCUGAACUGAUCCUGAUGCGGCGCCGCAAAUCUCUAUGUAUGGAUAUGAGCCUGAGAAUUGUGGAAUAAGAAUCCGGGCUUACUGAAAUACUUCAAAUUGUUUGGGUUUGGAAGAAAGCCCAUGCAAACGGAAAAUGUACAGGAGGAAUUGGUUCAAUUGAUCAAAUGAGAUUGAUUUUAGUUACGUUGUAUUUUCCGAAAGAUCGUUUUAAUUUUCUCUUUAUUUAUUUAACGUCCUCCGUACCACUUCUGAAAGCCGAUGUCCUAUCCAUGCUUGAAUCAACGGUUGUGGUGUGAGUGCGUGGAGUUGAUAGGCUGAUUAGGGUUUCUAAAUUGAUGUGCAACCGAUAACUGUGAUUGAUAUUGUAAAAAAAAAUCAAUUCCCCCCUCUUCAGUUUUCAAUUGAUUGUUGUUGAAGAGGAGUUUCUUCCCUUACAAGAUAGACAGUUAACGUUGGACCAAUUAGAAUUUCCUGUUGUAGGAAAUGUCUCAUGACUGUGAAUUUUUAUGCUCUAUUUUAAGAAACCAGUAGUUUAACAUUUUAUUCAGUUUGUUACAUAUCUAUAAGGGGUUAAAAUAAAGUCGUUUUGUAAACUAAAUCCAUCAAUUCUCUUAGACACGGGUUUCGUCGCUUUCGUGAGGACUCUGGAUUCUAGCAUUCAACGCUAUACAAGAGUUAUUAAGAAGCUUAUAUGUUUAAGAAUACCAAUGAAGAGGGAGGAAUGAUGGAAAUGCCUACUUGAGCAAAUUCAUUAAUGAAGGUUUGACAACAAUUUGUGAUACCUAGCUCAGAAGUUCAAAUAUUCAAGUAGCUGUUAUUUAUUUUUUUAUCCAUUUAUUAUUUAUUCAUUUAAUAGAUCCAAGGGGUACUCAUAUAAGUUAAUCAUUCAUAUUGCAUUCUCUUCACGCUUUUGUAGAAUAGGCUGUAUUUAAAUUGCAUUACAUAUAUUUAGAGUUGUUCACUUUUAGUUAUAAAAUUUGACUGGCUUUAUAAGUACUACAUUGGAUCUGUGGUUGCAUGUUGUAUCAGUAUUUAUACGUUGUAUAGGCUGUAGAAUUUGUUGCCAUGGAUUUUAUGCUUCUGUUUGACAUUAAUUCCUGUACCCUUGAAAUCUUGUAUGUACUUGAAUAUUUUGUUGGUAGCAUUUGGAGGUUACUUGCUCAAGAGUAUAAGGUGGAGGAGCAAAUUUCAGACAGAGUGGGGGUGAAAAAAGAUGGUUCAGUACACCCAAAAUCAAAUGAAAAGAAAAUAGAACAACAACUAAAUGCACCGUCUCCAAAAUAGCUGUAAGUUGCAUUUUCUGUCAAUACAGACUAAAAUUUCUGCUAAUUUUUACAAUUCGUGAUCAUCAAAAGAUGUACUUUUAUUCGAUGGAAAUCUUCUUUUUUUCUUCCUUAAUUUAUUUUUGGUGGUGAAUUUCAGACUAAAUAUGGGAGUCUAGAUUGUUAACAAUAUAACGCAAUGUUGUGUUAAUUAGUUUGAUGUAAUUAGGAUUAACCUUAUAGUCUCUUCGAGAUACUGACAGUUAAGCAGCAGAAAGAUGAUUAACUUAAGAUUUAGUUAUGUAUCUCAAUCUUUAUUUGGUGGAAUAAAUUUGUUUGGUGUGCUUCAUUUUAAGCUUAUCUUCACUCUUCAACAUAUGGAUUCCAAAGCUCAUUCAGUAGAGAUGAUGUCAUGAUGAAAUGUGGUCACGACCUACUCUUUUAAAGAAUACAAGUUGCAAUAUUUCAUUUGUCAUCACGUAGAAAGAAACUGCUUAAACAUGGGUACUCUUCUAUUUGAUCAAGCAAAUUUCUUUUGAACCUUUUAACAACUCUGCAAGUUAAUCGUGCAGGUUUAUUAUUGACGGCAUUAGGAAACAUUACAUUAGAAACAGGGGAAAGCAAAACCCAUUUUUAGUAGUGCGAGACUUGGAGGUGUAUUUAUCGCAGCAAACAUGUUGUUUUGUCAUGUUCUGCUUCUCUUAUAUAUAAAAACUAGCAUAGCGCUCUUACGUUCAUGGAUGUGUUGUUGGUAUUUCAUUGUUGGUAUGCAAAUUCAUUGGGAAAGCUAAUCACUGUAAAUUUUACCGAGUAAUUGAAAUCCUUUUUGGCUGCGUCACUAUUGCAGUUGGCACAUUUGCUAUUGACAGGUCUCACUCGCUUCUUCUAGGUUUUCCUUUUGUGUCACAAACAUAUCAAAGUAGGGUUGCAGAGAACAGGAAAGUGGAGGCGUCGUCAAACGCCUAUUCUUCAUCAUUUCAUGCCAUUGAUUCUUAUGCUGUUGAAUUGGCAUCUAGAUAGUUAUCAUCAUCCAUACUAGACCCAUCCCGUCAUAUUUUUGAGGCAACGGUUAGUCAAUGUUAUUUUAAGUUUUGCUUUGAGGCGGUAUUGUAUAUAAAACUUUUAAUGAUUGUCACAGACUUUGUUGCAACUCCGUCUACAGCUAUUUCUUAUGCAUUUUACUGACAGUAGGUUCCUGGAUUUUACAUAGUACGGUUGUGUCAUAAUAAGAUUGUCUCUUCUCAAAAUUUUGGUACCCGGUUUAUAUUGAAGUAAAACAUUACCAUGUUAGCAAGAAAUACAUUGCCUGUGAUUCUCCAUAUUACUGAUAAAUCCUAUUACCAUGACUUUCUUCUCCAGAGGUUUUGGUAGCUACACAAAAUUACUGAACAAAUGGAGAUCUAUCAAGCAGAGUGACAAAUGUUUGUUGCCUUAUUUGGUUAGUUCUCACAUAGAAAACGGAUAUCUGUUUCUUAUGAAUUAGUUUUAUGCAGUUUUUUACCUCAUUUGUGCUCAAAAAAUUGCUUAUCCAGGAGUCAAGCUUCAAGGAUAAUUGAAACUUAAGGUGUUGAAUUAUUUUAAUUUGAUUUGCUUAUUUAUCAGUAAGCAUAUGUCUUCCUCUACUCUAAUCUUUGUGAAUUUAAUAGUACCAAGAGAUUUGAAGUAGUGUCUCAAGAUGGAUAAUGUUUACGACUACAUGCUCAAUGUACUUCAUAAUACUUGCUUUGUAAUCAAGCCACGUACAUUUGAAAUGGUAUCUGUUGUCUUAGCUCAAAUGGAAGAGCACAUGGUUUUCAACCAUGUAGUUGUGGGUUUGACUCCCACAGAUGGCAUUGUUACUUAUUUUUGUGUGCUAAAACCUUACAUGCUUCCGAUGGCAGAAACAGUGAUUCUUUAUUUGAUGCUCACAGAGUGGGAACCCCACAGAGGAUAUAGAGUCGACCCCAGGGUCUUUGAGAAGCUUUUAAGAAAUCUGCUUGCUUAAGGGAUAUUCCUUCAACUGUAUUGGCCCCAGAGUCUAUAUCGAUAUUUUCCAAAGGUAAAGAGAGCCUGAUUCGAAAAAGGGGGUUUAUUUGCUGCAUCUAAUUUGAUUAUUGUCUUUGGUCGUCAUCUCUUUUCUCUUUGGUUUGUGUUUACUAUUUUUUCUGUUUAAUCGAAGGCAGCAUAUAUGCUAGGAUGUUUGUAAAAACCAAAGAAAAGUUCCAGCUGAAGGAUCUAACAUUGAUUUGUCUUGAUGUUUAGCAUUUUUGCUUUUCAUUUCUUUGUUGCUACUA